rnacentral:tRNA from 1 species
GGAGGAGUGGCUGAGUGGUCGAAAGCGGCGGUCUUGAAAACCGUUGUGCCGCAAGGCACCGUGGGUUCGAAUCCUACCUCCUCCG